ensembl:lncRNA
CUCUUUCCAGAGAUCCCUCCUUGGUGGAGCUUUCCCCUGCAAACCUAGACUCUUCUGAUACAGGUAAAUUGGAGACUGCAGCCCUGCACCUUUGUGAAGUUGUUCCUGUGUAACUCUGCCCCACAGAAAUGAUGGUGACUGUAGGCAAAGAGAUGAGUAAGAAACUGCACAGACAGCAAGAAUAUUUUUCCAAUAGUUAACAUCACUGUGGAAUUAUUCAGCACAGUAAAAUACCCAGCAGCUACAAGGCUAUCCAAAAUCUGCAGUCCUGUUCUUCUUCUGUGGUACCUUCACUAAAGAAAAACUGGUCUGACAGCCAAGCCAGCUCACUCAGGAGCCUUUUAAUGAGCAUAUAUUUAUACCUGCAUUCAUGUAAUAUAUUAACUGGAGUCGAUCAACCUUUCAGUAAACAGGUGAAAAAAAAAAAAGCAAUACAAAGCUCUGCAUGGAAAGCAGCAGCUGUGCAUCCAGCAGAUGGUGCUGUGAUGUUCCAUACUUCAAAGUUUUUUUCCCUCAUGUUUAGCUAUUUCACACUGUACGUAGUGCCUAGCUUCUGCACUCUGAGUGUUGCUUUCCAAACAACAUGAGCUAUUGUGAGUUAAAGUAAACCCCUGUACAAUGCACGAGAGUCAAAGAUGUAGCAAGCCAGACCUCUGCAAGAGUUAUUAGUUUCCUGGGAGCCUUCAAGAAGGCAGUUCUGAAGCAGGCAGACAGCAUAAGCUGCCAUCCUGGUCCUCUCUGCCUGCAGCGUUCAUUCCAGUCAAGCACUACUGCUUUUGUUAGCACCUUUGGUGGUGACAAAAGAGGCUACACCUAAAGAAAGCUUUGCUGCUAUAUAGUAAUACUGAUUUCUAAUCCUAAAACUAAACAACUGAAUAGUUGCAAAGUCCCUUUAGUUUUACAAAGGCCCUAUUACUUUAGCAACUCUUCAGUGCUCCUUUUUGCUCAGGACAAAAUCCUAUUUCAAGCUUUUUUCCCCCCACAGGGUUCUGGAACUCCCACCAUGCUGAAGUAUUCCUGCAGUCUAUCCAAUAGAAUCUGUUUCCAAGCCCCUUCCAGAAAAUCCUUAACACACUUAGUGCUGUUUUGGACAAUUUUCACUACUCUGCCAUACUGUGAUUAUUCAGGAAGUGUAGGACCUUUCGCAGAAUCUUUAGUGCAGAACUUGAGUCAAUUGAUUCUAAAUACAACAGUUAGAAAUGACAUUUAUAAACAUGCUUUCU